GGGGAAGGUGUCUACAAUCGGUAGGUAUACAUCCUGUUGUGUGGCCGAGCAUGAACUGCAAGUGUUGUUGCCGCUCACGAAGUAAGUUGAACAAGUUGAAUUCUUUAGAUAAAUAAUAAUUACUAUUUUUGGUACAAUCAUGUAGUUGCCUAAUUUUAUCAAUGUGUGAAGUCAAAUAUAUUACUAAUCAAUCCUUUCUCCCUCCCCUUGUUUCAACAGAGGUUUGUUUUGUCGGCAACAAGAUCUCGAGUUGUUUUUAUUGUAUUAAAAACUGAACAGCAGCAUAUAUCAGCUGAACAGUACCGUGGAGAUUUCAAUAAGUAGGACCUAGCCAAGCACAUUGACUACAUUAUAGUAAUGGCAUAGU
rnacentral:lncRNA from 1 species